UACGUAGGUGGCAAGCGUUGUCCGGAUUUACUGGGCGUAAAGAGCGCGCAGGCGGUCGUUCAAGUCGCGUGUGAAAGCCCCCGGCUCAACUGGGGAGGGUCACGCGAUACUGAUCGACUCGAAGGCAGGAGAGGGUAGUGGAAUCCCCGGUGUAGUGGUGAAAUGCGUAGAUAUCGGGAGGAACACCAGUGGCGAAGGCGACUACCUGGCCUGUUCUUGACGCUGAGGCGCGAAAGCUAGGGGAGCAAACGGGG
rnacentral:rRNA from 1 species